UGGGGAAUUUUGGACAAUGGGGGAAACCCUGAUCCAGCCAUCCCGCGUGUGCGAUGAAGGCCUUCGGGUUGUAAAGCACUUUUGGCAGGAAAGAAACGUCAUGGGUUAAUACCCCGUGAAACUGACGGUACCUGCAGAAUAAGCACCGGCUAACUACGUGCCAGCAGCCGCGGUAAUACGUAGGGUGCAAGCGUUAAUCGGAAUUACUGGGCGUAAAGCGUGCGCAGGCGGUUCGGAAAGAAAGAUGUGAAAUCCCAGAGCUCAACUUUGGAACUGCAUUUUUAACUACCGGGCUAGAGUGUGUCAGAGGGAGGUGGAAUUCCGCGUGUAGCAGUGAAAUGCGUAGAUAUGCGGAGGAACACCGAUGGCGAAGGCAGCCUCCUGGGAUAACACUGACGCUCAUGCACGAAAGCGUGGGGUGCAAACAGG
rnacentral:rRNA from 1 species